AUCAAAUGUAUAAAUCUCUUGGUUCUAGAGCUUGCUGUCUAUUUUGUGGAACACCUUGUUAAAGGAAACAUCCCUUAUGGCGAUGACACUCUUGGCCUUGUUUAGUUUCAACAGCUCAGAUGGAAAGCAGAGUUGGAAUAAAUCUCAUCUGAUUUAUAGACUAUCUCUUCGGCCUUUCCAAUCUCUCUGGUAGUUGGUGCUAAGUGGAAAGAUUUGUGUUUGGGGCAUCGUCUUGAAGAAACAACAUCUGGUUUCAGGUGGCUUUGUGCAUACUACGGGGAUUAAUAGUGCAUAUAAGUUUGCUCAAAGAUUUGCAAAGGAAAGAGACGAAGUUCAUGCUACUAGGAAGGAACAAGAUGUGUAGAUGAUAAAUCUAACACUAAAUUGUUACUCCCUCCGUUCCUUCAUAGUUGAGUCAUUUUUCCAUUUCGGGAAGUUCCCUCAUAGUUGAGUCAUUUCCAUUUAUAGUAACUUUUUCUUCUUUCUUACUUUACUCUCUCUUACUUUAUU